CAACAAGAGCUAACCAUACUAACCAUGAUGGAGCGGAUUCCAAAUUCAUAUUUAAGAAGUCAAAUAUAGCUCUGCUGACAAAGUGAGACAGGACUGAAGGUGAUCUGUAUAACUGUAUUAUAGCAUAUAUUGAUAUUCUAUGUUGCUGUUUUAUGAUGUAGGCUACUAAAUUAUAUCUGAUACUAAGUUAAACUAUGUUUUAUUGCUUCACUGUUCUAUACUCUAUAAACUGAUAUAUUGUAUUAAUGUAUGAGUUCUCAGGGCAGUAAAAUGUUCCCUGUGUAAUUUAAUAUUUGAUAUGAUAUUAUUCUGAUGUGUUCAGGUGAACACUGUGGAACAGAAUGCAGCUUCUCUCUCUCCCCCUCCCUUCCUCUCUCUGUCACAGGUGUACUUCCUGCUCUUUGUGAGGCAGCAGUUUUUUUACUUUUACUUUGUCUUGUUGUGACGCAGAUGUUUCCUCCACGUUAAACAUUUGGCAAGUAUCACUUCAUCUGAUUUUUGAUCUUUCAUUAAACUGUAAAAAUGUGUUUUGUUGGAGAAGAGUUUAGUUUGGUUAGGGUUAACUGUAACAUAAAAUCCCUUAAUACUCUCCAGCUGAUCCAGAAUGCUGCAGCACAUGUUCUGACAAGAACUAAGAAAAGAGAUCAUAUUUCUCCUG